GCCAGACUCCUACGGGCGGCAGCAGUGGGGCCUCUUGCACAAUGGGCUCCCGCCUGAUGCCGCGCCGCCGCGUGCGGGCUGGAGGCCUUCGGGUUGUAAACCGCUUUUGUUCAAGGGCCAGGCACGGUCUUUGGCCGUGUUGAGUGGCUUGUUCGACUCAGCCCCGGCUACCUCCGUGCCAGCAGCCGCGGUAAUACGUCGGGUGCAAGCGUUCUCCGGAUUUAUUGGGCGUCAAGGGCUCGUAGGCGGUUCGGCGCGGCCGGUGUGAAAGUCCAUCGCUGAACGGGGGGUCCGCGCCGGGGACGGGCGGGCUUGAGGGCGGUAGGGGAGACGGGAAUUCCCGGGGGAACGGUGGAAGGGGGAGAUAUCGGGAAGAACACCAAUGGCGAAGGCAGGUCUCGGGGACGUUACUGACGCGGAGGAGCGACAGCGGGGGGAGCGAACAGGAGGAGAGACCCGAGUA
rnacentral:rRNA from 1 species